UGUCGCUGUCUGCUUUCUUGGACGUUUCCUCCCUAAACUUGGCGGCACGAAAGUGCCGCUUUUUUUUUGCCUAU
rnacentral:sRNA from 1 species